rnacentral:misc_RNA from 1 species
AAAACCUUAAAGAUAAGUUUUUAUUAUUGUAUGUAAUUAUUACAAACUCUGAAUCUAUAAAUUAAAUUGAGCUUAAUUCCUAAUAAAAAAAUGCCAAAAUUUAAGCUAUAAAUGAUCUCUUAAAUAGCAAAAAAAUAUCAAUUAUAACGAGUACAUUAUUUGAUUAAUUUUUGUAUUAUUUUAUGGGUUAUAUUUAACUAUUCCUUUAUUAAUAUGAAUUCAUAACACCUAAUAUAUUAAUAAAUCAACAAAAAAUUCAUAUUUCGUAAUUAGGUUAAUAGAAACUCAUAUUCAAUUACUAAUAUAUAUAUAUAUAUAUUAUGAAAAAUUAAUUCAAAAAUUAUUUAGUGACUCCACUCAAAAAUUAAUAAUAAAAAAUAAUGAUUCAUUAAAUCUUUUCUUUUCUAAAAAAAAUAAAUAUAUAAAAGUUGAAGUACUAUCAAAUAAAAA